GGGGUUGUAGUUUAUUAAACAACAUUUAAUUUGCAAUUAAAAAAUACUAAUUAUAGUCUACCUCA
rnacentral:tRNA from 1 species